CGUUAACAUAGUAUUGUUUUCUUAAUCUGUAAAUAAAGGAUACAAUUUCAUGCCAAUGUUUAGUUUGGGUCUGGUAUACACUGUAUUCUGUAUAAUUUCAUUAUCAAGACUAACUAGUGCACUUACUGUAAUUAUAUUUAAGUACUACUAAGAGAGAUGUACACUUGUAAUAAAUACAUUAAUAGUUUAUUUUCAUUGCACUUUUAAUCAGCACACUUGAAGUAAAGUGAAAAAGUGAAGUUUGCAAUCUUCAGUUUGGUACUUUCACUGUUAAUCUGAGUUGUCGGUUGUGAUCGAAAGAAUUAGCAGCAGAAAUGAGCUUCUGACUACAGUGUGGAACCCGUACUGACGUCUGAUGAUGAUGACACUUACAGCAACACCCAAAAGGACGGGCCUCAUUCUUAUCUCCCUCUAUGAAUACAGUUAGAUGCCUUUGAACAUUAUAUCUUCGGAUCCUCUGAUUUUCCUCAACAUCUUUACAGAGUAGGACAUUUGUCACAGAAACAAAAAUGAGCAAACUGGAAGAGGCCAUGGAAAAACUUCUUGAUGUAUUUCAGCAAGGUAACCCAAAAGACAAAAAGAUAAAGAAUGCAGACCUGAAGAGAAUCCUGAAUAAUGAUUUGGAAAAAUGGUCGAAGGACCACCCGCGCAAGAUAAAAAACUUCUUGGAAAGGCUGGACAAAAACCCAGGCAGUAGUUUGGAUUUUGCGCAGUUUGUUCACUAUGUGACUUGGCUGAUGAUAGAUUGUGAUAGCUACUUUAAAAAGUAGACUCCUGCACAUGUAGCUUAAACAUUAGCAUGUUGCUAACACAGAAAGUGGAAAUGGAGAACAUCUUAACUUCACUCUGUUCAAUGAAAAAUACCCCUCCACUCAACCCUUUUUACUGUAUUGUUGUAAUGUAACCAUAAAAGCACAAAAUAUGCGUCUCAUCACAUAAGCCUUUGCCCCCCCAAAAAACCAACCCAAAAACAAAACUAAAUGAUGCUGUAAUUUCUUUGUAUGUCAGACAGCCUAUAAUUUUUUUACUCCGCAAUACAGCAACAACUCUCAACCCAGUUAAUAUCAUUUUUUUGUCAUUAUGAUAUUAACUCUUUCACCUUUGUACUCAUUGAUAAUGUUAAUAUGAAUGUAUUAAGACUCUCAGAGUUUAUAUACAUGUGAAUGUAAAUCUGGUUGUGUGUCUUUUCUAAAACCAUCUUGAUUUAUUGAGUCUCUGAAAUGUUUUCUGUGUGUUUUUGUCAGGGUUCCUGGGUCGCUGACCCAGUGAUUCAGUUCUGUUCAUGUUCAGUUUAGUUUGCCACAUUAAUGUUCUCACUUCCUGUUUUCUCCCAUGUCAGCUUGUGUCAUUAGUCGGAUUAUGUUCAGCCCUGUACUCACCUGUUUCCAAUCAUUGUCAUCAUUCCACCUGUGUAUUUAAGCUCCUCGGUUUCACCAGUUCUUGGUCGUGUCAUUGAUGUUCGUGUGAUGUUGUCCUUUCCGUGUGUUCCCUCAAUUCAGUCAGCCAUUCAGUUAUCCAGCCAGUCAGUGUCAGUUCACCCUCUGUUCAUCCAUUCCUUAUAAUAAACCUUCACCAGUCUUCACCUACCUGCGAGUCCUGCGUUUGGGUUCCUUCUUCCUCGCCUCCACACAAAAGCUGACAGUUUUAGAACAAACCAGUGCUGUUGCUGAUCAAAAGAGGUGCUAUGACACCUCUUAAUCAUGCAGAUGAUUAUGAAGAGGUCUUGUAUACAUAAACCUCAAACAAAUAUUUAAUAAAU
rnacentral:lncRNA from 1 species